CGGGGCGUAGUAUAGUGGUAGUAUACACGCUUCGGGUGCGUGAGGUCCGAGUUCGAUUCUCGGCGCCCCGACCA
rnacentral:tRNA from 1 species